rnacentral:lncRNA from 1 species
UGAAAAGCCUCGGGCGGAUUCUGGAAAUCCAAGGCAGAUUUCUGAGUCCUGGGGACCCAGUGGAGUCUGGGGCCGGUUCCUCAUCAUUCACCUUCCUGACCGGUCUUAUCCGCUGUGAUCUGCUGGGACACACGGUUACAGGGAGGCAGUUGCUAGGGCAACAGUAACCAUGGGGUGUAGCAACCCCCAGAAUUUACUCUGAGCCUGUGACAUUUUAACUGGUGGAGAAGCGCAGUUAGCUCCCAAGAGCCAGCCGAGCAGGGACUCCUGCCAACCCUGUCUGUGUGCCUCCCUUCCCCCAACCUCAGAUAACCUCCCGCUAGGCCCAGGGAUCUGGCUGCCCGACACUCCCUUGGGCAAAUGAAUAUUCAGAGGCAGCCAAAAAGUGUAUUCAAAUCUUAUAAACUUCCGCCUGCCUCGAUCCAUUUAAAUGCAUCAGUAUCUUCUGUUUUGCCCCAUUUAUCUGCCAGGAAAACGAAGGGUAAUUCCAGGAGCCCAGAAAUAAGUGCUUUUCCCAAGUUGCUUUAACCUCCUAAGUGGGGUGAGGGAGGGAUGGGGCUGGGCUCCUCACUCUAUAGAUUGGGUCCCUCAGACAAGUCUCACAGAGCCCUAGAAUCCCGGGCGACAUCUGCUGGGGUCUAGGGAGGGGACGCGCUAGCAGAGAAGUGGCAGAGGCAGGCCGGAACCUGCCUCUCCUCCCUGGUGUCUGCCUUGUCACCUGUAGGGUGCGGCCCCUGCUGCCAGCUGCCCCCAUCCCUGGUCUACAUGAGUAGUAGGCUUUCCGGCCUGAGCCCCUGCUUCUGUCUCCCAAAUCACAGACUAUCAUGUGUGGAGGACCCUCGAGAAUCACCUGGACUCUACAGGUUUUGCCCCACGUUGCUCCUUGGGAGCAGGCCCCAUGCUGUUUUAUUACUAACAGGGCCGUCGAUAUAUUACAUUAUUACGUUCGGGCAGUGCUGUGGUGUAAAGAAAAUGCCACAGGAUGUGGAGUCAGACAAGAGGCCAAGUCUUAGCUUUACAGAUGAAGCACUGAGGGGCGUUGAGCAAGUCAUGGAACCUCUCUGAACCACAGGGAUGUGCAAUGCAGUUUUAUAAGAUGAUGCCUUUGAAUACUCUGAAGUGCUGAAUAAACAGAAGUCUCCCUCAUUUCA